rnacentral:misc_RNA from 1 species
AAGUCGUAACAAGGUCUCCGUUGGUGAACCAGCGGAGGGAUCAUUACAGAGUUAUCUAACUCCCAAACCAUUGUGAACUUACCAUAUGUUGCCUCGGCAGAACCUACCCUGUAGCGGGCUGCCGGCGGACCUCUAAACUCUUGUUAUACUAUUGUAAUCUGAGCGUCUUAUUUUAAUAAGUCAAAACUUUCAACAACGGAUCUCUUGGUUCUG